rnacentral:rRNA from 1 species
GACGAACGCUGGCGGCGUGCCUAACACAUGCAAGUUGAGCGACGAACCAGGGCUUGCCCUGGGGCAAAGCAGCGAACGGGGGAGUAACACGCGGGUAACCUACCCCGAUAACCGGGACAACCCGAGGAAACUCGGGCUAAUACCGGAUGUGCUCACUGGACUUCGUUUCAGUGCGUAAAGGAAGCUUCGGCCUCCGUAUCGGCAGGGGCCCGCGGCCCAUUAGUGUGUUGGUGAGGUAACGGCGCACCAAGGCCGCGGUACGUAGCUGAUCUGAGAGGACGAUCCGCCACACGUGGGAGGAGACACGGCCGAGACGCCUACGGGAGGCAGCAGUAGGGAAGCGUCGGCAAAGGACGAAAGUCUGACCGAGCAACGCCGCGGGAGUGAAGAAGGGGUUCGGAUCGGAAAGCUCUGUUGGAAGAGAAGAACGGGUGGGAGAGGGGAAAGUGCACACUGUGACGGUAUCUUACCAGAAAGGGACGGCUAACUACGUG